GGCUCAGAACGAACGCUGGCGGCGUGCUUAACACAUGCAAGUCGAACGCGAAAGGGGACUUCGGUCCUGAGUAAAGUGGCGCACGGGUGAGUAACGCGUAGAUAACCUGUCUUCAUGUCUGGAAUAAUACGCCGAAAGGGGUACUAAUACCGGAUAUUCUUGCUUUUCAUAAGUUAUGCAAGCAAAGGUGGCCUCUGCAUAUGCUACUGCAUGAAGAGGGGUCUGCGUACCAUUAGCUAGUAGGUGGGGUAAUGGCCUACCUAGGCGACGAUGGUUAGCGGGUCUGAGAGGAUGAUCCGCCACACUGGCACUGGAACACGGGCCAGACUCCUACGGGAGGCGGCAGUGAGGAAUAUUGCGCAAUGGGGGAAACCCUGACGCAGCGACGCCGCGUGAGUGAAGGAAGGCCUUCGGGUCGUAAAGCUCUGUCAAGAGGAAAGAAGUGUACAAUGGCUAAUACCUGUUGUAUUUGACGGUACCUCUAAAGGAAGCACCGGCUAACUCCGUGCCAGCAGCGGC
rnacentral:rRNA from 1 species